AGUGAACGCUGGCGGUAGGCCUAACACAUGCAAGUCGAACGGCAGCACAGUAAGAGCUUGCUCUUACGGGUGGCGAGUGGCGGACGGGUGAGGAAUACAUCGGAAUCUACUUUUUCGUGGGGGAUAACGUAGGGAAACUUACGCUAAUACCGCAUACGACCUACGGGUGAAAGCAGGGGAUCUUCGGACCUUGCGCGAUUGAAUGAGCCGAUGUCGGAUUAGCUAGUUGGCGGGGUAAAGGCCCACCAAGGCGACGAUCCGUAGCUGGCCUGAGAGGGUGAUCGGCGACACUGGAACUGAGACACGGUUCAGACUACUACGGGAGGCACCAGUAGGGAAUCUUCCGCAAUGGGCGAAAGCCUGACGGAGCAAAGCCGCGUGAGUGAUGAAGGUCUUCGGAUCGUAAAACUCUGUGAUUAGGGAAGAACAAAUGCGGAAGUAAAUAUGCACGUCUUGACGGGACCUAAUCAGAAAGCCACGGCUAACCACGUG
rnacentral:rRNA from 1 species